GGAAGGCUGCCAAAAUUUUGGCACGGCACCCAAAACUCUUACUCCCUAUUUUCAAAGAGAGCACGUUAGCUCUCCCUCCUCAUUUUCAUUUCUCUCGUGCAACUUCUAUGUUCCUCUUCAGAAAUUUUCAAACGCCUCUACCUGUGCAUACCCGAGCCCAAUUCAACCUUUUCAGAGUCAGAAUCAAAACCAUCUCUAAUUGCAAACCCGGUGAGUUCCUCGUGAACUCGUCCUCCUUUCCGUCGACUGCGCACCCAAAUCCGCAACUUCUUCUAUAAGGUAAAAAUCCCAAAGCUUGUUCCAAUAUACUCAUGUAUGUGUUCUGUAUAUGAAAAUCCAUAUGAGAUUCUCUGAAAUUCGAUCACGUCGGUGGCUCUGGUGGCUCCUAUUUAGAUGAUAAGUAUGGGGGAUGCAACCGAAGCCGAUCCAAUUUGGGUUUGGAUCCAUAUGGGAAGCGGUAUAAUGUUGGUCCCGAUGCAGGUAUGGCGACGAUGUUUAUGCUUACGGAGGUGAUAAGGUGAAGUAUGGAUUGUGAUUUUGAGUGCCCAAAAUGGAAUGUAGACAUUUUGCAUUUGAAGUUUAUUCUUUUGUUAGCAUAGAAGGUUUAGUGUUUAGAAGGGAUAGACAAUCUCAUUAUGAUAGGUUGGGUUUAGUUAUAAUUGUCCAAUAACGGGCAAGUUCUCCCAUAUUUGUCUGCAAAUCAUCACUCUGUCUCAACUAGUGAGUCACGUAAGAUGAUUUUUAAUGAAUUACUCUGGCUUGCUUUAUUCGAUUCUACUUCUGAGAAAAGCAGGUACUGCAGUGCGCCUCUCUGAUAUCUGUGCUCACCACCAUCAAGGUUUAAUCAUCAAGUGAAGCAUCAAAGCUUGGUUUUCAACUUUCAGACUUACACACCCGGUGUUUGUUUUUUGUUCUCAAAGAAAACUGAUUUGUAACCGUGCAUUGGUCUUCAACUUUCAUUGCUUUCUUCGAUUCUCCAUUUUCUAUUUAUCCAUUAUCCCCAGUUUUUCCCCUCGACACUGUUACAAGAUGUGAUGUAAAUUCAUUUUACUUUAGCAUCAAGUUCGUUAAGGAACUUUUAAUUUAUGUAUUGAGGUAAAAGUAAUUUGUAUGUUUAUUUUUCUUCUCAUGCAGUCAAAUAGUUACACUGCCAACACCCUUUUGGAUACAUUGAUUGCUGCAACUGUACAGGUUAGAAACUUGGGAAUUUUACCUUUCCCCUUGUCCUAAAAUAAUAAUGGUCCCCCUUAUUUAUUGACAACAUGAGAUUAAUUAGGGCCUAGACAAUGUUUUUCCGGUUUCUGCUCCUGUCAUUUGAUAUGUUGUCAUGUAGUAAGUAUAAACAUUGAUACUUGUUUUGAGAUGUAUGUGAACGAGUUCAGUCUCGCACACAUCCAGUUCUCAAUUACUCAUUGACGCGAUUUCAUGGUUUUGCAAACUCAUGUGAGAACAGAAGGUGAUGAUCUACAUGAAUGCAUAGAGAGCCUAGAGUGGUUGUUAAAGUAUGUAUGAGAGCAUCCUAGCAGAUAGAGAGAGGCAACAAUUGCUGAGGCUCAAGCAUUAGGGCAGUAGUUCAUUCUCAAGGUCCUUUGUUUGGAGGUGUUCAAAGAAAUGUGAAGUCUUCAAGUGAAAAUGUCCUUAUUUGUUGGAGGUCUCUGGAUCUCAUCGUUUUGUUGUAACUUUAGUUUAGUGUACAACUGUAAUGUUCAAAAUCUAUGAUUUUUUUAUUUAAUUGUUAUAUUAUAGUAAAUGCGUAAUUUUGUUUAUAAAUAUUAUAUAAUACAUUUA